GAUCAUGGCUCAGAACGAACGCUGGCGGCAGGCUAACACAUGCAAGUUGAACGGGAUUUGCUUGGUGCUUGCACUGAGCGAUGAGAGUAGCGCACUGGUGAGUAACACGUGGGAACAUGCCUUUUGGUGGGGGACAACGGAGGGAAACUUCUGCUAAUACCGCAUAAGCCCUAAGGGGGAAAGAUUUAUUGCCGAAAGAUUGGCCCGCGGAAGAUUAGGUAGUUGGUGGGGUAAAAGGCCUACCAAGCCGACGAUCUAUAGCUGGCCUGAGAGGACGAACAGCCACAUUGGAACUGAGACACGGUCCAGACUCCUACGGGAGGCAGCAGUGAGGAAUAUUGGGCAAUGGAGGAAACUCUGACCCAGCCCAUGCCGCGUGAGUGAAGAAGGUUUUCGAAUUGUAAAGCUCUUUCGGAUACGAGGAUGAUGACGGUAGUAUCUAAAGAAGCCCCGGCAAACUUCGUGCCAGCAGCAGC
rnacentral:rRNA from 1 species